rnacentral:rRNA from 1 species
CAGGCCUAAUACAUGCAAGUCGAACGGUAACAGAAAAAGCUUGCUUUUUGCUGACGAGUGGCGCACGGGUGCGUAACGCGUAUACAUCUACCUUUUACAGGGGGAUAGCCUUUAGAAAUGAAGAUUAAUACCCCAUAGUAUCGCAUGGUUAAAAUUUCGGUGGUAAAAGAUGAGUAUGCGUUCUAUUAGCUAGAUGGUGUGGUAACGGCACGCCAUGGCAAUGAUAGGUAGGGGCCCUGAGAGGGGGAUCCCCCACACUGGUACUGAGACACGGACCAGACUCCUACGGGAGGCAGCAGUGAGGAAUAUUGGACAAUGGGCGCGAGCCUGAUCCAGCCAUGCCGCGUGCAGGAAGACUGCCUAUGGGUUGUAAACUGCUUUUAUACGGGAAGAAAACAGACACGUGUAGGUGGCUGACGGUACCGUAAGAAUAAGGAUCGGCUAACUCCGUGCCAGCAGCCGCGGUAAUACGGAGGAUCCAAGCGUUAUCCGGAAUCAUUGGGUUUAAAGGGUCCGUAGGUGGACAAUUAAGUCAGAGGUGAAAGUCUGCAGCUCAACUGUAGAAUUGCCUUUGAUACUGGUUGUCUUGAAUCAUUGUGAAGUAGUUAGAAUAUGUAGUGUAGCGGUGAAAUGCAUAGAUAUUACAUAGAAUACCGAUUGCGAAGGCAGAUUACUAACAAUGUAUUGACACUGAUGGACGAAAGCGUGGGGAGCGAACAGGAUUAGAUACCCUGGUAGUCCACGCCGUAAACGAUGAGAACUAGAUGUUGGGGGUUCGGUCUCGGUGUCGCAGCUAACGCGUUAAGUGACCCACCUGGGGAGUACGUUCGCAAGAAUGAAACUCAAAGGAAUUGACGGGGACCCGCACAAGCGGUGGAGCAUGUGGUUUAAUUCGAUGCAACGCGAAGAACCUUACCUGCCCUUAAAUGCGAAUGACAGGUUUAGAGAUAGACUUUUCUUCGGACUGGAAACAAGGUGCUGCAUGGCUGUCGUCAGCUCGUGUCGUGAGAUGUUGGGUUAAGUCCCGCAACGAGCGCAACCCUUGUCCUUAGUUGCCAGCACGUAAUGUGGGAACUCUAGGGAGACUGCCGGUGCAAAACCGAGGAAGGUGGGGACGACGUCAAGUCAUCAUGGCCCUUAUGGGCAGGGCUACACACGUGCUACAAUGGCGAAUACAGAGGGUUGCCAACCAGCGAUGGUGCGCUAAUCCCUUAAGGCUCGUCUAGUCCGGAUUGGACUCUGC